rnacentral:rRNA from 1 species
AUUGAACGCUGGCGGCAGGCUUAACACAUGCAAGUCGAGCGGGGUGAUGGUGCUUGCACUAUCACUUAGCGGCGGACGGGUGAGUAAUGCUUAGGAAUCUGCCUAUUAGUGGGGGACAACAUCUCGAAAGGGAUGCUAAUACCGCAUACGUCCUACGGGAGAAAGCAGGGGAUCACUUGUGACCUUGCGCUAAUAGAUGAGCCUAAGUCGGAUUAGCUAGUUGGUGGGGUAAAGGCCUACCAAGGCGACGAUCUGUAGCAGGUCUGAGAGGAUGAUCCGCCACACUGGGACUGGGACACGGCCCAGACUCCUACGGGAGGCAGCGGUGGGGAAUAUUGGACAAUGGGGGGAACCCUGAUCCAGCCAUGCCGCGUGUGUGAAGAAGGCCUUAUGGUUGUAAAGCACUUUAAGCGAGGAGGAGGCUCUUUUGGUUAAUACCCAAGAUGAGUGGACGUUACUCGCAGAAUAAGCACCGGCUAACUCUGUGCCAGCCGCCGCGGUAA